UACGAAGGGGGCUAGCGUUGCUCGGAAUCACUGGGCGUAAAGGGUGCGUAGGCGGGUCUUUAAGUCAGGGGUGAAAUCCUGGAGCUCAACUCCAGAACUGCCUUUGACACUGAAGAUCUUGAGUUCGGGAGAGGUGAGUGGAACUGCGAGUGUAGAGGUGAAAUUCGUAGAUAUUCGCAAGAACACCAGUGGCGAAGGCGGCUCACUGGCCCGAUACUGACGCUGAGGCACGAAAGCGUGGGGAGCAAACAGG
rnacentral:rRNA from 1 species